rnacentral:lncRNA from 1 species
AUCUAUCUAAUUUUGAGGUUAAAAUGCAGCCAUUUUAGCCAAAGUGUACACAUCAUGAACCUUAAUCAUUUCUACAGCACUUGUCAUGACAUCCUGAGCUAUAAUAUUCUAAGGAGUAGAUGCUGACUAGGUUGCUUUUAAUACAGCCAUUAAAACGUUUAAUCCCGCUGCAAAUGUUUGCACCUGUCCUAAGUCAGGAAUCUGAUGUACAAUAGUUGUCGUUUGUUUAUGUAAUUUAUACGUGUCUCGUUUUUUGUUUUUUUUAUUUUAUAUAGAUUAGACUGUUGGUUUUCCCGUUUGAAUGGUUUUACACUAGUAAUUUUGGGGCCCUUUAUAGUUUGUUGUGCUGUGUGAGCCAAGGCUCCGUGUUGAAGGCCGUACAUUGACCUAUAAUGGUUUACUUUUUUUAAAUUGUUAUUUGGAUGGAGAGUUGUCUCAUUGGCACUCACAC